GAUGAACGCUGGCGGCAGGCUUAACACAUGCAAGUCGAACGCCCGUAGCAAUACGGGAGUGGCGGACGGGUGAGUAACGCGUGGGAACGUGCCCUGAGGUACGGAAUAACUGCGGGAAACUGCAGCUAAUACAGUAUGAGCCCCGCAAGGGGGAAAGAUUUAUCGCCUUAGGAGCGGCCCGCGUCGGAUUAGCUGGUUGGUGGGGUAACAGCUUACCAAGGCUGCGAUCCGUAGCUGGGCUGAGGUGACGAUCAGCCACACUGGAACUGAGACACGGCCCAGACUGCGACGGGGGGCAGCAGUGGGGAGUCUUGCGGAAGGGGGGCAGACCUGACGCAGCCAUGCCGCGUGAAUGAUGAAGGGCUUAGGGUUGUAAAGUUAUUUUGACCGUGACGAUGAUGACGGUAACGGGAGAAUAAGCUCCGGCUAACUUCGUGCCAGCCGCCGCAGUAACAC
rnacentral:rRNA from 1 species